CAGAGGAGAGGAAGCAGGCAGAGCAGCAGGGAAAUGAUCUCUUUGCGGAAAUGGGCCAGAUUUCUUCUGAGGCAGAGAGGCCUCCGUUGGACACCAGAGAGAGGCAGCUGGGUGACACAGUGAUACUGGCUAGACCUCUUCAUCCAUCUCUGAAUGGGGACAGAAUGGAAGCAGCGGCUGUGGAACCAGAUCAGGGUCCAGUGUGCUUUGAAGAUGUUGCUGUUUGUUUCACGGAUGAGGAGU